AGAGUUUGAUCCUGGCUCAGAACGUACGCUGGCGGCACGCCUAACACAUGCAAGUCGAACGAAGUAGCAAUACUUAGUGGCAGACGGGUGAGUAACAUGUAGGUAUCUGCCCUUUGGCCUGGAAUAACACGAGGAAACUUGUGCUAAUACCGGAUAAGUCUUAACGGAGAAAGCUUUAUGCACCAUUGGAUGAGCCUGCACUUGAUUAGUUUGUUGGUGGGGUAAUGGCCUACCAAGACUGUGAUCAAUAGCUGAUUUGAGAGGAUGAUCAGCCACAUUGGGACUGAGACACGGCCCAAACUCCUACGGGAGGCAGCAGUGGGGAAUCUUGCACAAUGGAGGAAACUCUGAUGCAGCGAUGCCGCGUGAGUGAAGAAGGCCUUUGGGUUGUAAAGCUCUUUCGUCGGGGAAGAAAAUGACUGUACCCGAAUAAGAAGGUCCGGCUAACUUCGUGCCAGCCGCCGCGGUAAUAC
rnacentral:rRNA from 1 species